UCUGGCAGCACCACAGGUCUUUGUGCUUUUCAGCAAACUCACAGUGAACCACAGGAUCACUUCUCUCUUUGACAAUCUGGGGUUGUUCAGCCAUGUAGUUUACAAAUAAUAGUGGCUGAGGUUUGCGUGCCAGUGUGAUCAGGGAGUUUAAUAUUUAAUCUCCUAGCUGUCUGUGGUGUGCCCUUGAAGCUGUGUCAGAGACAGAUACCUGCCUGUGGGAAUUGGAAAUGCUCUCCAGGAACUGUGAUGCCUUGAGCUGACAAGUCCUUGCACCCAGCCAGACUGCUGGGAUCAGCACCCUGCCAAUGGCUGCCUCAUUCUCAUAAACACACAGAGCCCCAAAAAGAAACAGAACAAAUAUUUCAUAUGGUAAGUGUGAAA
rnacentral:lncRNA from 12 species